rnacentral:tRNA from 1 species
GCAGGAAUGGCGGAAUUGGUAGACGCGUACGCUUGAGGGGCGUAUGGUAUUAUUACUCGUGAGGGUUCAAGUCCCUUUUCCUGCACCA